CCAACGUGGAUACCCUGUGGGGUCACUCUCACAGGCUCUGUCUGUGUGGCGCAUGAGAGCGUAGUGUCUGCUGGCUCAGUGACGUACAGUCCCCUUCCACGAUGUUGGAGAGCAUGCAUGUGCCUGGCCCUGUGGAUGGUGUCUUGUAUAUUCCUACACCUUCUCAGAGCUCUCAGGCUGUGACUGGGGAGACAAACCAUGCAGGAUACAGGC